UCUGUCCUUGCAGUGGAAGAUAGAGGCACCGAGCUUUUCAUUUUUGCAAGUGUGCAGUAAUGCCAUUGCUUAGGGGCAUGUUGUAGAUAGCUGAGCACCUCCUUGUUCACCGCAUUCCUACAGCAGGGAGACAUUCACUCCAAGUGUAAGCUUUGGUCUGGCGUUUAAAUAUAGCACAGAUAUUCAGAAGGGUUCUUCUCUUCUCAUGCCCUCCUACCCUCAAGCAAUCCUCUUGGAUGGUGUUACUUUCCAGAUGUUCUGUGAGAAGCACAGAGAAAUUGCUGAGGUUUGCACAAUGGGAGAUAAGCUGGUUUUUUUCCUAUUAGCUCUGACAGGCAACCUGAUGUACGAGAUCGCAGCAUUAGUGCUAUGCUGGUUUGGCGUUUAAACUGCAAUGAAAGAGAAGGGGCAAAUAAUGUAUCAAUACCAGAAAUAACUGAUGUGGCAGCCUUGUUCUGUAAGCCUUUUUUGAUCACUGCUCUUAUCUGUGCAACAGUAACCACUGGUGUAAAGACUGCAAGGAGUGGAAAACUUGGAUGCUCUGUUAGGUCAUUUCACAUUCUGUGUUUGCAACUGAAUUUAAUUUUGCAGCUCAAUAUAAAUUUGAGGGUUUAUUUAUGCCAGUCCUGAGCUUCUAACGCAUGAGUCCAAACCUUAGCAGUUCAUUAGCAAGAACAGCAAGUUGUUCUGCUGUCACUGAGGUCUUCCAAAGAAGGACUGGAAUACUAAUGGUGGAAACAGGACAAAUCCCUUUUUGCAGCUGAGGUGUUAUUGGGUUUCCUUUCUGGCAAAUUGACUCUUUGAAAAACUAGACGUUUUGCUUUUGGAAUAGAUAACAUAGCCUGAUUGUUGAAAAAAAUUUUCUAAAAUAAAACUCCUGCUGUUUGGUUUGUUCUUCCCUGCAGUUUGGAAGGUGUAAUGGAGAACCUGCUGACCUAAACCAUGCUGGCUCUUCCCUUUUGCUGUCUCAUGAGCUUGUACAGAGGCUGAAUUGCUUCUUUGAUACUCUUGACUUUUCUCUGGGUGUACCUACUUUGCUAAGGUCAUUGAAGAAGUGAUAAUUCCACAGCACUGCAGUCUGAGUUGAUAUACAACACACUCAUUCAUUUUUGCCACCUUUUAUCCGCUGCCAAGGUGUGCAAGGUGAACAAAUAAACCUUUGCAUUCUAAUUAUAGGGAAUGAGUUAAAACAGUAAGUUAUCAAAUAGGGAAUGAGAACAGAGGAAGUGUCCUGACUUGCUGGUGUAGAUUUUUAGCAUAAUAAGAAAUGAAAAAUAGAUGACUGACUCUUUUAUUAUGGCUAUUGUGGUAGAAAUGGACAUUCUAGACUUUGGCAAGGUCGGUACUGUCUAGAAGAAGGAAAGUAAAAGGGUAAAGAAGUUGAGAGAAAUUAACAAGUGGGCUGUUAUAGAUGGAAUUAAUAAGGGACCUGUGUCAAUGAUAAGAUAUGUGAUUUGGCUGGCACAGUGGGCCUUCUGCAAAGAAUCCUUCUGGUUUCUUACGGGCUUUCGAGAUUUCCGUUGAUUACCAUUAGAAUUUUCACUUUACAUCAGUUGGAAACAUGGAGGAGUUUUUAUGCUCAUAGAAAGCUUUUUCAGAAAAAAAAAAUUAAUAAUAAAAAAGAGUUCUACACAUGAAUUCAGAAUUAUUUUCACUUCUCUCAUUUCCAAAGUUUCAGUACUUUCCAAUCGAAGUGGCCACAUAAGUCAGAUGAGUGCUUCUGCCUUUGGGUUUGGCCCUGAAAAAUGUUGAGCACCAUUAAUUUCAAUUGACUCCAAGUGGGAGCAGAGACAACACAGGAUCUUGCAAUUUCUGGUCUUUAAUUGGAAAUGAAUGCAGUGCUUCUGAUGUUGAGUGCUCGGGGGUACAUUUCUUUUUAUAGAGUCGAUAAUUACUUGAUUCAUUAAAAGUAGUGCUGUAUUGCUGUAAGUGCAAGUUAAGUCUUCAUUUCAAACAUGUUGCUGAACUUCCCAAAAGCAUACUGUUUAAUGCCACUCAACUCAUGUAUCAUUUAACCUAAUGAUCGAAUGGUUUCACAGGAGCUUCCCGCCCUUCUAUAAACUAUUUGGCUAAGCAGCUCUAAUACUACUAUACGCAUACUUGAUAGACUGUAAAACAGCAAUUCUUUUUUAUGUAAUUUCUUCAUAGAGUGAAAAUCUUAGUGACUGAUUUAUUUGGAAGACGAUGGUGAAAGGCCAUCUUCCUUCUCUUCUUGUAGGUUUUUUUAUAAAUUUGAAACACUACUCCCCUCUAGCUGCUGUUCUGUCUCUGUUUCCUUGUUCUUGCAAGAAAGGGUCCUGCAGGACUUCUCAUUUACUUCUUACUUUGAUAUUAGGUCCUUCCCCCCACAGCACUAUCUUGCCACCUACUGUGUCUGCUCUUAUUUCAGUUAUGCAGCUUUCAGUGUUAAACUGACAUAACUCCCAACUGGUUCAUAUUUGACCAAGUGGUCUGUAUGUAUAGCAACAGGUGUGUUACUUGGUGUACUGAUAAUUCUGUACUGUAACCCUCUAACAAAACUUACAGAAGCAUCACAGCAUAGAAAUUAUCUCAUAGUCUGAAAUACACCAUUGCAUUGGCAUGUGCUUGGUUGAGUACCUUUAAAGCCAUUCUUGCAGCGAUGAGAAGCCAGGAACAAUCCUAGGUUUUGUAGAAAUGAGUGUGUUAGGUUAACUCAUGCAGCAUGCAGAGCUCCCAGUUGGAACUGGUGAUCUGAAUUUCCAUGCCCCUUGAGUGAUUGUUGUCGGAGCAGUGCCAAUGUGAUCUGCAACAGUAAAAACUGGUCAUGCAAACAGUGUUCAGCAGAAAAUAGCUGUGGUAGUGCAGGUAGUCUCGUGCAUUUAGAUCAUUUCUACCCUGCUGCACAAGUGUUUUUUACCAUCUCUUAUAUUGUUCUAAGUGAAAGGCAGAACUUUCAUUUGAGCUCAGCCAUUGGAUCAGUUCAUGCAGUUGGUCUGAUUUAUCUUCUGCUAGCUCAGCUGCGUACUAACCUUUCAAUCGCAAACAAAAUGUGCUUAGAGUAAGUCUAAAGAUUACUCCAUAAAAGAAUAAUAUGUGGUUGUAAAUUUACAGCAGGUGAAGAAAGUUACGCCUUAGUAAUGCUGUGGAAGUGAUAGAGCAGUAAGUAGUGUGAAUCAAAACUCAUAGGUUAGUUUUUGGAUUUCUCUGCUACUAAAAAUUGUCCAAAGACGUAUUGAAGGCUGCACACAAUAAUUAGCAUGGGAGUCCGUUCAUCACAUGGUCAUUAGAUUGAAUAUGAUUCAUAUUGCUGCUAUCCCCAAGUGCUGUAGUUGCCUGGUGAGUUUAAAAAUACUGAGCAAAUUACUCUUUUGAUUUGCUGUCUUGGUGAAGGAUUUGAGAUAUUGAUACGUACAUUUUAAGCACCAUCUAAAUAUGUAUCAUGUUUCCCUCUCACACAUUUGAUCUCCCUGGACUAAUGACAGUGCAGUAUGCUGCAUGCUCCCUUUCUCGUGCUGACGUUUAACUGGGGGUUUGUGAAGACCUCUCUCUCUUCUGUACUUCCUUAAAGUGUUUCCAGAUGACUUUGCUGUUACGUAGCACCAUAGCCUCGUGGUAUGACUUUAUCCCAGAGGUCAGAGGAGUAAGCUUGACUGAUAAGCCUUUUAAGCUUGAAAGCACUUUCCUCCCUGCUGGGAAGCCACAUGAUUACAUUUGCGAGGAAGAUUGUUUGGCCUUGAGGAGUUGUGUGUUUGAGAAUCAUGGCGUUGGAGUUCACUAUUGGACCGGGCAUGCCUCCUCCCAUGCAAGCCCUAUGGAGGUGUGUGUGACCAGGUUUUCUUCACCAGUGGAGGCACAUGUUGCAACUACACCCAGCAUGAGUCAGAGCUCCUGUUCUUGCAUCCUUAUCAAAAGAUUCCUUGUGUUGACCUCUACUGCUCAGGAACACACAAAGUUAAACAGGGGUGGCCCAGCCAUUUUAGUGCUUCAGUGGCAGUCGGUGCUGCUGGUCAGAAAAACAACGCAUGAAGCCAUAGUCAGAUUAAUUUUAUUUACCUGAAGUAGAAAAGUUCAUUGUGGGACAAAAAGAGAAAUCAGAAGCUCUUGGCUGGUACCAUAAAGGAAAAUCUUAUUGAUUCAUCAUAUUCUCC